rnacentral:rRNA from 1 species
ANGCUGGCGGCAUGCCUAAUACAUGCAAGUCGAGCGGACUUGAAGAGAAGCUUGCUUCUCUGAUGGUUAGCGGCGGACGGGUGAGUAACACGUAGGCAACCUGCCCUCAAGUUUGGGACAACUACCGGAAACGGUAGCUAAUACCGAAUAGUUGUUUUCUUCUCCUGAAGGGNACUGGAAAGACGGAGCAAUCUGUCACUUGGGGAUGGGCCUGCGGCGCAUUAGCUAGUUGGUGGGGUAACGGCUCACCAAGGCGACGAUGCGUAGCCGACCUGAGAGGGUGAUCGGCCACACUGGGACUGAGACACGGCCCAGACUCCUACGGGAGGCAGCAGUAGGGAAUCUUCCGCAAUGGGCGAAAGCCUGACGGAGCAAUGCCGCGUGAGUGAUGAAGGUUUUCGGAUCGUAAAGCUCUGUUGCCAGGGAAGAACGCUUGGGAGAGUAACUGCUCUCAAGGUGACGGUACCUGAGAAGAAAGCCCCGGCUAACUACGUGCCAGCAGCCGCGGUAAUACGUAGGGGGCAAGCGUUGUCCGGAAUUAUUGGGCGUAAAGCGCGCGCAGGCGGUCAUUUAAGUCUGGUGUUUAAUCCCGGGGCUCAACCCCGGAUCGCACUGGAAACUGGGUGACUUGAGUGCAGAAGAGGAGAGUGGAAUUCCACGUGUAGCGGUGAAAUGCGUAGAUAUGUGGAGGAACACCAGUGG